GUCAACUUCCAAGUGGUCCACUCCCAGCUUCUAGCAGUUAGAGGCUUAGGACACCCAGAGCAUGGAGUUCCAUCUUCCUUCUGAAACACAGCUCAGGAAAACUCUGGAACGGGAUCUGUUUCAAGUAAGUGGUCUGGGGAAAGAGCAGGGCCAAUGGCCUCCUGUUCAUGAGAUCUGAGAGUGUAGAGUCUUGGUGUGUUCAUAUCGGUCCAGAAGCCUUUCAUUAUGCACUCACACUAGGCUUUUCCUCCUGAGAUGCAGAUGAGCCUGCUGCCACUUCUCCUUUUGUUCUUGGCUUCAAGGCAAACUGUACCUUAAGCGCAAGUCAAAGCUUCUAACCAGAGGUGGUCAUUUACCUGUAGGAAUCUAGCGGUGCCAGUUAUUACAACCUCACCAGAAGUUUUUACCAUGCAAGGGGAUCAGUACAUCAGAGUUUUCCAGAUUUUACUUUCCUGAGUGGUCUGAAGAAAGAUUUUGAUCAGUGGGAUGCUCUUGUAGAUGGCGAAGGACAUAAUGUCAUUCCUGGAACCAACAUUGAUCUACCCUCAACUCAGCCUGAAUCACUAGAAUGAAGAAACUGAUAAUACCGUGCCUUAGUAGUACUGCUGGUCAUCUACUUCCCACAGCUCCAGCGUUCUUCUUUCUCUUGGCAGUCUCAUUGCACAUUGAUAAAAGAGUUGCAGGGGUUUAAAUUCAUACCAGCCUAUAAACUUAUUCUUUAAAAUACUGUAAUAAACUUUUGCUUUCUACCCAUUAAAUAUUAAAUCAGCUAUUGGAUAGAUGUCUGGCUCUAAAUUAGGAAAGAAGCAGUGUUACCUAGUGUUUACAUCAGGCAACUUUUGUUCUGGCAAGAGUUGGGGCAAAAUGUUUAACCUCUCUGCUCUUCAGCAUCUCCAUCUUUAACAUGGAGACAAUGCCUAACCAGCAUAUCAAAUGCUCUGAGCUCUCCAGCUGUAGAGUGCUACAUAAAUACUGAAAAAAAAAAUUAGUAGGCCUACGUUAACUUGACUUCAAGAAUACCAGACGGGAAGCCCAGAUUCAGUUUCUUAAGAUUCUGAUCCCAAAUGGAGAUCUGUUGUAAAAAUCCAUUUCCACCAACCACCAGCACCACUGGAUGCCUCCUGAGAGCAACUGUUCUUGGGAGAGUUCCUGUAAGAUUUUUGGAAGAUUGGCUCUUCUUGUGAAGUUUCAGUUCCAUCUGAACUGCAAACUGAAGGAAGGCUCUUUCUAGUUUUGGAUUUGACCCAGAACCAAAAUUGCCAGGACAGAUUGGGAUCUAGGGACUUGAAUCACAGUUCUGCCUCCCAAAAUUCAAACCAGUUUGGAUUGUUGGUGCCACAUAUGGUAUGUUUAGUAAUUAUAUACUUUAAUAACUGAUUCUGUUUUUGAGAAGCCACACUGCACAUUCUUAAGCAUUCCUGCCAUGCUCUAGGAAACCAAAACUGCACACAAAUUAGCUGAAAUGUUUUCCCUCAAUGAGGGACAAUGGAAGACUAGUAGAAUUUCUUGUCAAGAUUACAAAGCACAUGGAGCACUUGGGUUGGAUUUUCCAAAGCAGCUUAGUGACACGAGCACAAGUCCUCUAAAAGUCAAUGGGACUUGUGCACCUUCUCCAUCCAGCUUUUGCCUCCUUUGUAAACAUCAUUUGGGGAUGAGGAUGAUCCUGGAGAGAAAACUCAACUCUCGAGGCAGCAUACUCUUCAUUUUUAAGAGUAAUUCUUUUGUGUUUAUAUACAUUUUCCUGCUUUGUAAAAAUGCCAUCUCACCAUACUGUGAUGUGCACUAUUACUAUUAGGGAUGCUUUUUUACAUGUUAUAAGAAAACUGUAGCCUAGUUCCAGGACAAGUUGCAGUUUUCUGAUAUUGUGCACGCCACUCCAAUACAAAUCUAUGUUUUCAACCAUAAACAAGCUCUUGAAUUGGAAUUUGCUGUACAAAGGAAAAUAGAAAAGUUUAUUUUUAAGCUACAUUAUCUCCAACUUAAAAGUGUGCUUCCUUCCCCUCAAGGGGUUAUUCUGUGUCUGUUAGACCUAAGGAGCUCUCCUUUUUAAUUCCCCCCAAAUAAACAUCUCCUCCCUCACAGAAUCACUAUUCUGGCAAAGGACAACUGAACUCCUUUCAUAGAGACAUUAGCAGUCAGAGGAAGAGAGCUUUAAGACCAUGUCUGUCUAUUGCACAGAUAGAGUACUGCUCCCCCUCAGUAGAGAAUCUGUGGAGUGACCUAGGGUAGGGCAUUAGCCCCGCUGCUGUGAUAAAAUUUCAUUUUUGAGAUUGCCAAGCAGUCAUUAUUAGUGUUAUGUACAUGAGUUCCCCAGCUACAUUACCACCUACUAGAGAUGGUCUAUUCCCAGUUCUGCCCAUGGCAUUGUCACCUUCCCCUUGCUCCCACCCUGCUAUUUGGCACAAGUAAUUGGCCCACAUACUUCCUAGUUGAUAACAUUUAGAAUGCUAUAGCUACAAUACCAUCUGCAUGAUCAGCCACUGUCCUUUCCCUUCUAUCUUCUCUAGAAGGCAUCAUCCGAAAGUUUUGUUUUCAUAGCUGUGGCAAGGAGUAGCUAUAGUAUGCGUAGGCUAUGUCCACACUACAGACCUUCCAGCA